AACCAGGCAGGUAGGCUGUUGUUACCAUGCAACGAGCAGACGCUUGUGAAAAGUACUAGCUACAAAAUUGGCUAAAUGCCUGUUGCUGUAUACAUAGCGCGCGUGUGUGUAUGUUGCUAACCUAGCUAGUUAGUUAGCCAUUCAUAAAGUUCCUAACGUUACAUCAUGGCAGACGGCUGGAGCACCGACAUCGGAGAGGUUGCCUACCGUUCCCGGGAUGUUGUCAAAAACCUUACAAUUAAGAUCCGUAUUCAGAGAGUCACCUUCGCAGCAGCCCUCUCUCAACACCUUCAGCAGCAGGUUUUUGACUCAACAGGAGAGGGGAGGCAUUGAGCUGGACACCCUCAACUCACAGGCUCAAUCAGCUGGAGAUGGUGAGGAGUUAGUGGUAGGCAGGCAGGAGAAGCUGUUCAGUCAGGAUUCCCAGAGUAUGGUGACGCAGGUCAAGUCCAACCCUACCUUCCUGGCACAUAGGAUGGCCAAUGUCAGACACAGACGACAUGACAGACACCCAGUUGACAGCACCGUCCCCAAGUCCAGGCUGAUUACCUGGGAGCCCUCGAAGGACUUUAUGAAGAUCAGCUACGUGGUCAACACACCUGUACAGACCAUGCACAUCAUGGGGGACCUGGGACCACCAGGCAAACUUGGCCAAAACGAGAAGGAAUGCUUGUUGUGCACGAUAAGAGCAGAUGGAAAUGGAGUGAUUACCAUCAAACCAGACAUAAACAAAGUUGUUUCAUCAGCAAAGGUCAUCUCAAGUCUGAUUUUAUUUGUCACAUGCCGAAUACAACAGGUGUAGUAGACCUUACAGUGAAAUGCUUAUUUACAAGCCCUUAACCAACAAUGCAGUUUAAGAAAAAUAAGUGUUAAGUAAAAAAUAAUUAUUUUGGACCUAGACUUGGUGCUCCGGUACCGCUUGCCGUGCGGUAGCAGAGAGAACAUUCUAUGACUAGGGUGGCUUGAGUCUUUGACAAUUUUUAGGGCCUUAUUCUGACACCACCUGGUAUAGUGGUCCUGGAUGGCAGGAAGCUUGGCCCCGGUGAUGUACUAGGACAUACUCACUACCCUCUGUAGUGCCUUGCAGUCAAAGUCUGAGCAGUUGCCAUACCAGGCAGUGAUUCAACCAGUCAGGAUGCUCUCGAUGGUGAAGCUGUAGAAUUCUUUGAGGAUCGAGGACCCUAGAGGUGCCCCCGUGUUGAGGAUCAGCGUGGCGGAUGUGUUGUUACCUACCCUUACCACCUGGGGGCGACCCGUCAGGAGGUCCAGGAUCCAGUUGCAGAGGGAGGUGUUUAGUCCCAGGGUCCUUAGCUUAGUGAUGAGCUUUGAGGGCACUAUGGUGUUAAACGCUGAGAUGUAGUCAAUGAAUAGCAGUCUCACAUAGGUGCUUAUUUUGUCCAUGUGUGGAGUGCAAUAGAGAUUGCAUCAUCUGUGGAUCUGUUGGGGCGGUAUGCAAAUUGAAGUGGGUCUAGGUUUUCUGGGAUAAUGGUGUUGUGAGCCAUGGCCAGCCUUUCAACGCACUUCAUGGCUACAGAUGUGAGUGCUACGGGUCGGUAGUCAUUUAGGCAGGUUACCUUAGUGUUCUUGGGCACAGGUACUACUAUUACAGACUCCGACAGGGAGAGGUUGAAAAUGUCAGUGAAGACGACUGCCAGUUGGUCAGAGCAUGCUCGGAGUACACGGCCUGGUAAUCUAUCUGGCCCUGCGGCCUUAUGAAUGUUUACCUGUUUAAAGGUCUUACAUAGGCUGCGGAGAGCAUGAUCACACAGUCAUCCGGAACAGCUGAUGCUCUCAUGCAUGUUUCAGUGUUACUUGCCUUGAAGCGAGCAUAGAAGUUAUUUAGCUCGUCUGGUACGCUCGUGUCACUGGGCAGCUCUCGGUUGUGCUUCCCUUUGUAGUCUGUAAUAGUUUGCAAGCCCUGCCACAUCCGACGAGCGUUGGAGCCGGUGUAGUAUGAUUCGAUCUUAGUCCUGUAUUGACACUUUGCCUGUUUGAUGGUUCAUCGGAGGGCAUAGCGGGAUUUCUUAAAAGCUUCCGUGUUAGAGUCCCGCUCCUUGAAAGCGGAAGCUCUACCCUUUAGCUCUGUGCGGAUGUUGCCUGUAAUCCAUGGCUUCUGGUUGGGGUAUAUACGUAUAGUCACUGUGGGGACGACGUCAUUGAUCCACGUAUUGAUGAAGCCAGUGAUUGAUGUGGUGUACUCCUCAAUGCCAUCGGAAGAAUCCCAGGAACAUAUUCCAGUCUGUGCAAGGAAAACAGUUCUGUAGUUUAGCAUCUGCUUCAUCUGACCACUUUUUUAUAGACUGAGUCACUGAUGCUUCCUGCUUUCAUUUUUUCUUGUAAGCAGGAAUCAGGAGGAUAGAAUUAUGGUCAGAUUUGACAAAUGGAGGGCGAGGGAGAGCUUUGUACGCAUCUCUGUGUGGGGAGUAAAGGUGGUCUAGAGUUCGGUUUUUCCCCCCUCUGGUUGCACAUUUAACAUGCUGGUUGAAAUUAGGUCAAACUGAUUUAAGUUUCCCUCCAGUAAUGUCCCCGGCCACUAGGAGCGCUACCUCUGGAUGAGCGUUUUCCUGUUUGCUUAUGGCGGUAUUCAGCUCAGUGAGUGCGGUCUUAGUGCCAGCAUCGGUCUGUGUGUCGACAGCUAUGAAAAAUAUAGAUGGAAACUUUCUAGGUAGAUAGUGUUGUCUGCAGCUUAUCAUGAGAUGCUCAGGCGAGCAAAACCUUGAGACUUCCUUGGAUAUCGUGCACCAGAUGCUGUUCUAUCCUGCCGAUAGUGUAUAACCCGCCAGCUGUAUGUUAUUAAUGACGUCGUUCAGCCACGACUCUGUGAAGCAUAAGAUAUUACAGUUUUUAAGGUCCCGUUGGUAGGAUAUAUGUGCUUUUAGUUCGUCCCAUUUAUUUUCCAGCUAUUGUACGUUGGCUAACAGUGCGGAUGGAAAAGGCAGAUUAGCCAUUCGUCGCCUGAUCCUCACAAGGCACCCCGAUCUCCUUCUGCGAAAUCUACAUAUUUUUUUCCUACGAAUGACAAGGAUGAAGGCCUGUUCAGGUGUCUGGAGUAAAUCCCUCUCGUCUGACUCAUUACAGAAAAAUUCUUUGUCCAAUUCAAGGUGGGUAAUCGCUGUUCUGAUGUCCAGAAGCUCUUUUCGGUCAUAAGAGACGGUAGCAGCAACAUUAUGUACAGAAUAAAUUUCAAACAAUGCGAAAAAACUAACAAAAUAGCAUGGCUGGUUAAGAGCCAAUAAAACGUCAGGCAUCCUCUCUGGCGCCAGUACAACUUUAUAAGUCCAUGUUACGGGGAACAAAGAUAAUUUGUUUUUCUGAAGGGUUUGGUCACAGAUCUGCCAGUUCAGAUCAAAUUCCACAUCUUGUUGCCUGCCUCAGGACUCAAACCAGUGACCUUUCAGUUACUGGACUAAUUCUCUAUCUUCCACCUUCUAACUUAUUUUUUUAUUUCUCAUUUAUUUAACCAGGUAGGCUGGUUGACAACAAGUUCUCAUUUACAACUGCGACCUGGCAUCGGCGUCCUAGGCAAAGUUCCCUUUACACUAUCCCAUGUGCGUGUCUCAUGAUCUGUUAAUGAAGUAGUCCUGCCUGUAAGUUUAAUAUCAGUGUCACCCUCAGCUCAGGAGGGCAUUACAUCUUGGUCUAAUGGUCAAGCCACUGGUUUUUCCCAUGGGAGGCCCGGGUACAGAUCCUGCCCAUGAAAUAUGCACACCUCUCCCAAAGCAAAAUUCCACUACCACCAAUGUAGUGUUUUUUUUGCAAACAGCAAUGGUGUAAUGCCCCUUUUGUCUCAAACCCGGGUCUCCCUGCCCGUAGGCAAACAAAUAUAUUUUAGUGAAUUCAGGAGUUCGCCCCAAACAGGUUUUGAACCUGGGUCCAUCAACUGUCAAGCCAACACCUUAAGUGCUACGCCAAGAUGCCCAAACCUUUCGUUGAGGUCGCUCGGUGUUGGAUUAAGGUUGCUACAUUACCUCCUUCCUUGGGGAGAGCUUGCCCCCACACUUCUUUAUAGCAAGUCUCUCACAUGUACACAUCUUUGAUGGCUUCACAGGCACUAUCCCACUUCUGAUACCAAUGUAACAAAUUUGGGGGUAGCUCCAACUGGGACUUGAACCCCGGUCCAGUGACUAGCAAGCCAACACCUUAUCCAUUACCUCAAGAGAUCAGAAGGUGUUAAGUGUUGGGUUAAGCUUGCUACAAUAUAUACUUAUAUAGGGCAAUGUGUGAUCUGGGUGAGGCAGCAUUGCCACUAGUGCUCCCAACACAGCCAAACACCUUCUUAACCUUACCUAACCUAAAGUCAAAUACAUUUAGACAAACCACCAUGUGAGCAGCAAGUUUAGGGUUAAUGGAGUGAAGUUGGUGAUGGGUAGGACCACCAGUAUGAACUAUAUGUCUAUGAAGGUAUUACAAACGGGAUGGAUGCUCUUCAUCAACACCAUCUUUUCUGUGAAACUAGAUAUCAGCAAUCAAUCAACAAGACUAAUGAAAUGGAGCAAAUGAAGACGUUAGAUCUGCUAAAGUUUCCCCUAGAUACAGAUCUAGGAUCAGCUUCCCCUCCCCAAACCCAACAAGGACCACUAGCGGGGGGAAUUCAAACCUGAUCCAAAGCCAGGGUCUAUUUGGGGAACUUGUCCCAUCCCCCACAACUCUACAUGUGGAUGCGGCUUUCUCCAGCUCACCAUGCUCACAAAGAAAACAGCAGUGCAUUUCAGCUCUCCCGCUCUCCUCAGUCCGAGAAAACACUGAGAGAGAAAGAUCAACAUAAAAGCCUAAAAGACAGCCGUGGUGUCGCUCUUCAUUUCUUGGUUCUCCUGUGGUACAUAAGAAACCCGCUACAAGAACAUGGAUAAAAGCAGGAAUCUCUCGUGCCAAGAUUCAUCAGCUGUUAUACAAAUAUGAUACAAAACACCAGCUGAGUGGCACCGGCUGCAUCAGCAAGCCUGGGAAAGAACUGAAAAAACGCACUAAAGAGUCAAGACAGACACCAGAAAGAGACCCAAGAAGACUUGGACGCAGGGUCAGAGGACAGCGAGGGAUGUUCAGAAAACACUCAGUCCGGUUUGGAGAAUGACUUCUCAACCCAAGAGGCCUAAGAGCAGCUGUGAGAGAGCAUCAGUUUGGAAGCAUUUGGGAAAAUGUAGUGGUAAAGAAGGUUCCCGGCAAAGAGGGUUGCCUGUUAUGGGUCAGAGCCAGCUCUCAAAAAAGAACAUGUAAAGACAAAAAAACCUGGUGCUCAACAAAAUGCAAACAUACAAGGCUCUCCGCAGCCAGUAAAAGGCUAGCAUGCCACGAAGCUGAAGUUCACACAGGUGAAUGGGAGUGUUGUAAAAGACAAAAAGCUUUUUAGACAUAGCUCUAAAAUGCAGGUCCUAGUUGAGCUUGUGGGCUUGUUCUGCUCUUUUUUUCUUUUGUGGUGGAAAACUUAAGUGUGUCGAGCAUAACACGUCAACCCUGUUACCAAUAGAUAAAGGCUAGACAAUUCUUAGCAAUUUUAUUUUUGUCUGAAACUUCCAAUUCAAUGCUAGCUGUGGGAUGGAUCCUGGUUCAAGUCCAGGCUCUGUCGCAGCCGGCUGCGACCUGGAGACCCAUAGAUUGGUGCACAAUUGUCCCAGCGUCAUCCUGGUUAGGGGAGGGUUUUUAUUUAUUUUCGUUUUUUAUUUUUGUUUUUAUUCAUUUGAAUAUGGUCUUUAUAACAGAAGGUAAAAUUAGGUGAACUUUUAGUUAUGAAUAUGAACUGGCAAUAUUCUAGUGGCCAUUCUUCGUUGCAAUAAGCCCAUGAAAUAAUAUCAGUUUUUAUGAUGCUGGUAAAGAUAGUACCUUUACCUAACUUCGCAGUGUAGCCUAUAGGUUAUACACUGUGUGUACAAAAUAAUAAGGACACCUUCCUAAUAUUUAGUUAGCCCAUCCACCCCCUUUUGUCCUCAGAACAGCCUCAAUUUAUCAGGGCAUGGAUUCUACAAGGUGUUGAAAGUGUUCCACAGGGAUGCAGGCCCAUGUUGAUGCCAAUGCUUCCCACAGUUGUCAAGUUGGCUGGAUGUCCUUUGGUUGGUGGAACAUGAGCGUGAAAAACCCUUCAGUGUUGCAGUUCUUGACACAAACCGGUGUGCCUGGCACCUACUACCAUACUCCGUUCAAAGGCAGUUGAAUCUUUUGUUUUGCCCGUUUACCCUCUGAAUGGCACACAUACACUAUCCAUGUCUCCAGGCUUAAAAAUCAUUCUUUAACCUGUCCUGUCCCCUUCAUCUACAAGUGACAUCAAUAAGGGAUCAUAGCUUUCACUUGGAUUCACCUGGUCAGUCUGUCAUGGAAAUAGCAGGUGUCCUUAAUGUUUUACAUUUACAUUUAAGUCAUUUAGCAGACGCUCUUAUCCAGAGCGACUUACAAAUUGGUGCAUUCACCUUAUGACAUCCAGUGGAACAGCCACUUUACAAUAGUGCAUCUAGAUCAUUUUAAGGGGGGGGGGGGGGGCAGAAGGAUUGCUUUAUCCUAGGUAUUCCUUGAAGAGGUGGGGUUUCAGGUGUCUCCGGAAGGUGGUGAUUGACUCCGCUGUCCUGGCGUCGUGAGGGAGUUUGUUCCACCAUUGGGGUGCCAGAGCAGCGAACAGUUUUGACUGGGCUGAGCGGGAACUGUACUUCCUCAGUGGUAGGGAGGCGAGCAGGCCAGAGGUGGAUGAACGCAGUGCCCUUGUUUGGGUGUAGGGCCUGAUCAGA